GCAGCUCAGUCAGUAGAGCAUGAGACUCUUAAUCUCAAGGUUGUGGUUUCAAACCCCACAUUGGGCA